rnacentral:rRNA from 1 species
AUUGAACGCUGGCGGCAGGCCUAACACAUGCAAGUCGAGCGAGCGGCGGACGGGUGAGUAAUGUAUGGGGACUGCCCGAUAGAGGGGGAUAACUACUGGAAACGGUGGCUAAUACCGCAUACUAUCGGAUAACCCAUAUGGGAUUAGCUAGUAGGUGGGGUAAAGGCUCACCUAGGCGACGAUCUCUAGCUGGUCUGAGAGGAUGAUCAGCCAAACUGGGACUGAGACACGGCCCAGACUCCUACGGAGGCAGCAGUGGGGAAUAUUGCACAAGGGGCGCAAGCCUGAUGCAGCCAUGCCGCGUGUAUGAAGAAGGCCUUAGGGUUGUAAAGUACUUUUGGCAGGAAAGCGGUACCUGCAGAAUAAGCACCGGCUAACUACGUGCCAGCAGCCGCGGUAAUAC